GUAGGGAAUCUUCCACAAUGGACGAAAGUCUGAUGGAGCAACGCUGCGUGAGUGAAGAAGGUCUUCGGAUCGUAAAACUCUGUUGUUAGAGAAGAACGUGCAUGAUAGUAACUGAUCAUGUAAUGACGGUAUCUAACCAGAAAGCCACGGCUAACUACGUGCCAGCAGCCGCGGUAAUACGUAGGUGGCAAGCGUUGUCCGGAUUUAUUGGGCGUAAAGGGAACGCAGGCGGUUUUUUAAGUCUGAUGUGAAAGCCUUCGGCUUAACCGAAGAAUAGCAUUGGAAACUGGAAGACUUGAGUGCAGAAGAGGAGAGUGGAAUUCCAUGUGUAGCGGUGAAAUGCGUAGAUAUAUGGAGGAACACCAGUGGCGAAAGCGGCUCUCUGGUCUGUAACUGACGCUGAGGUUCGAAAGCGUGGGUAGCAAACAGGAUUAGAAACCCUAGUAGUCC
rnacentral:rRNA from 1 species